CCAGCCCCGUGGAAGGAGAGGCUGCUUCCACCCCACCCACCCCUCCCCUGGGGAACUCCUCUGCUCCAGGUCCCUGACCCUUCUGCAGCCUUUCCAAGACCUACUGAUGGGUUGGGACCCACAGUUUGGGAAACUCAGUGGCUUUUAUAGAGCCAGAUGCUGAGAAGCCUGAUCCUAAAGUUGCUGAGCACCUUCCCCACCUACUGAGAUCUGCAGGAGCUAUGGCGAUAGGGAAUCCCACAUUAUUCCAGGGCAGAUUGUUAACCUGGAGCCAGGGAACUUCUGAGGAGAGAAGCAUUGGCCUGUGGAAAAAAGGGAUCCCUCUGUAAGAGGGUUCCCCUAGGUGCUGCUGGAUGUGCAGCAUUGUUUUACAGCACUGUCCUUGGUUAGUCCCCCUGGUCGCCAUAUUAGAUGGCUUGGCACCUUUGCGCUGCUCUGGCCACGGCCAGCUCUUUCAGAGAGUGCACAGCAUCAGGUGUGGUCUUUAGCAGAAGGUCAUUUCCGUUUAAACGUGCAGUCUGUAUAAAUAGUUCAGACCUGAUCCCGGGCUGAACACUCAAUGGUCAGCAUGAAGCCCUUAUAUAUCAUUGGGCUAUAACCAUGGGGUUAUAGCCUCUGAAGUCAAGAGGAGCAUUACCACCAACUUCAGUGGGUUUGAUCCUGCUCUCAUUACAUGCAAUGAUCACUGCAUGCUGCUUUCUUCUAAAAAGAACACGGGAAAAUAUUUAUUUGUGCAUGUAUGUUGUAUUUAAUAAGAUGUAUAUGAAAAUGGUAGAGAUUGAUUUUACUUGAUUUCAUUGCUUCACUUUAUCAGUGGUAACACACUCCACACAGCUCAGUGGCAUUUUUAUUCACACAGAAGUAUUUGCCUAUCGGAAUAGAAAGGAAUUAACCAACAUUGCUCCAGGACCAGCAGCCUUUUGGCUUUCCAGCCAUAUCUCCCAUAAAUUAAAUUGUCGUUAUAUUUCAUGCAAAUGUUGCAACACAGCUUGCAGUGGGAAGUCUAUUCAUGCACAAGAAGUGGUUUGAUCCAAACCUAAGAGAUACCACAGUGGGUUUUUAACAGUCUGGAAUGAAACUGCUUUCCAGAGUCAGGUCUGUGGUUCUCGUUUCCUCAGGGAGUUGCCAGCUAGCAAAGGGGUCUUGGAGGAGGUUGUGCUUGCAUGGCUUUUCUGAGAGCCUGCUGGCUGGGAUGGCAAUUUCUUUUUGAUCACCGGAGUUUUGUUCUUGCUUUUAAAUACCUUGUUGGGGUCCAGUUUGUUCACAAAGGAGUCAGGUUCUUCUGAGAGUAGAGCUGUGUUGAUGGUGAUGGGCUUGUACAUGUUAAACCAUUGCUGAAAAAAAGAUUACAGGGAAGGAUGACAUGGGGAGAGGGGGGAAAUCCCACACUAGAGAUUUGGAGGGAAACCGCAAGAAUCAACUUUGGAACAUUUUAAACAUACACCAAGCUCCUGCUGUCAAGAACCUGUGUCAGUCUGUGUUUCAUCUCACAGCGUUUUGUGCAAAGAGCUUUAUAGUAGAGAUGGUUCGUAGCUGCAGAAUGAGGAUUGGGAUAUAACCUUCCCAAGAUACAGGGAUUGUGCAGAUAAAGGUCAAAAGUGAAACCAGAUUCUCCUAGUUUUCCAUAGCAGUAACUCGGCAGGCAUUAGGGACUUACUCCUGGUUUAUACGGAUGUCAGAGAGAGAGGAACCAGGCCUAAUUUAUUUGGAUUCAAAGAAAUACCAAGUGAUUAUUAAUACCUUGGAAUUUACCUUGCCAAACAAGCGGAGCUAGAAUUGCUGGGCCUCUCGUGAAAUAAAAAGCCCCCAGUACUCUUCUAACAGUGCAGGUUCAGUUGUGCAAACUUUCACUCAGACCUUGUGUUCACUUAUCUUCUGACUGAUUUGAUGACUCUGGAUCACCAUCAGCAUUAUCUGGUUGCCACCAGGAAGUUUCACUUUGCAAUUCACAUUCCUGUCUUCUACUGCUUUUUCUACUACAGCCAGCUGGCUUAUGAAGCCAGGAAAAGGACUGCAGGGGUUAUUAGAAAACCCCGCCUCAAACCAUCCUCAUUCUAGGACACAGCAUAAUACUGAACGAGAUAAACAGAGGGUCAAUACACACACUAAAGGGGUGGUAGAUUUAAGUACUGUGUAAGGGGAAGGUCUCCAAUAUCUGCUCCUGAGAGACCUUUCCAAAAGAUAGUGUUAAUGAAGACUACCUGAUUACAGUAGUGAAAGAUAACAAGUCAGCUGGACAUAAUCUAAAUGAGGAAGAAGUUGAUUGGUUAGGGAACGUGUGGGGGAUAAUUUCACGCAAGGGGUAGUGAAUAUACGGAAUGCUGUGCUGGGAAAAGCUAUUGCUAGAGUACAAUGGGUACGGCCUCGAUCAAUCUAGGGCCUGGUCUGCAGUACGUGGUUAUUUUGGAAUUAGCUGAGUUAUCUCUAAAUAAAACUGGUUCCGUCCACAUGACCAAACCAGUUUUUUCAAUUUAAAGGGCUCUUUACUCUGAUUUCUGUACUCCACCUCGGCAAGUGGAGUAGCACUAAAAUCGA